rnacentral:rRNA from 1 species
GAUGAACGCUGGCGGCGUGCUUAACACAUGCAAGUCGAACGAAGCACUUUAUUUGAUUUCCUUCGGGACUGAUUAUUUUGUGACUGAGUGGCGGACGGGUGAGUAACGCGUGGGUAACCUGCCUUGUACAGGGGGAUAACAGUUGGAAACGGCUGCUAAUACCGCAUAAGCGCACAGCGUCGCAUGAUGCAGUGUGAAAAACUCCGGUGGUAUAAGAUGGACCCGCGUUGGAUUAGCUAGUUGGUGAGGUAACGGCCCACCAAGGCGACGAUCCAUAGCCGACCUGAGAGGGUGACCGGCCACAUUGGGACUGAGACACGGCCCAAACUCCUACGGGAGGCAGCAGUGGGGAAUAUUGCACAAUGGGCGAAAGCCUGAUGCAGCGACGCCGCGUGAGCGAAGAAGUAUUUCGGUAUGUAAAGCUCUAUCAGCAGGGAAGAUAAUGACGGUACCUGACUAAGAAGCACCGGCUAAAUACGUG